rnacentral:snoRNA from 1 species
AAGACUGUACUUUCGGGGAUCAUUUCUAUAGUUCGUCACUAGAGAAGUUUCUCUGAAUGUGUAGAAUACCCUAAACCAUGAGGAGGAGGUGCAGUGUUCUCUCCUGAGCAAUACCUCUUCUGGUAUUGCUUUUAGAACUGCCAAUAGCCAUUGAUGAUUGUUCUUCUCUUCCUUCAGAAGAGUAAGAGGGGGAGAACACAGUCUGAGUGGU